AGGGAACCACUGCUGUUAGAUAAGAAGUGAGUGACUGAGAUUUUUGAGUGACAAGUGACAAGAUGAAAAGAAAGAUGGAGAAUGCUCUUGAGGGACUUGUGGGGCUAUUCACACAUAUUAAGGAAUGUUUAGGGAAAGGUCAAAGGCGUCACAAAAUGGGUUGUAGGGAGGAAAAACAGGAUGCACUGUAGAGGAAGGAGGACAAAAAUUUCCAAUCAGUACACCUUAGGGGAUAAGGUCUGUGCCUGACCACCACAGCACAUUCUGUCUUCUUAAUUCCUGAUUUGUCUAUGCAGUGUUGAAACUGUGCUCUAUUUCUCAUGUGGGAGUGCACCAAGGUCUAGGCCAGUAGAUGCACAGACUGCUGUGCAGUAGAGAUCUGGCUGCCAGAGACCAAAACCACAUUCGAAGCACAUCAGGAGUAAACCAGUGACUGGGAGGAAAGAGUAUUAAAGUCUGAGACUGAAGUGGGUAAUGAAUCACAAAGCCUGGGAGUGGAGGUUUGGCAGGCUGAGGUCCCAUUUAAUGUCUGAGGGAUUAGCAUGACUGGGAUUGAUGUGUGUGAGAGGAGUGGGUGACUUCACUCAUCUGAUGGCCAGUGAACAACAGAAUGGUCUAUCCUAAGCAAAGGAGGAGAGCCACAUGCAGUGUAGGAGAAGCCAGUCCAGGCAGGGGUAUUGGAUGUGGCUGUGAGAUUGUGGGAGUCUUUGCGAAGCCAGUGGAUGAUGGUGUGUGCUUCCACUGGAGAACUGCAAUGCUUGUCAGCUCAAGAGCAGGAAUAGGGCUUUGUUCCCUGCUUAAGAAUGAUAAGAGAAAUGUUGGUGUUAACUGUGGGUGUUGCUAAUGACAGUGUGCACCCUGCCUGUGGAGCCAGCAGAGUCAUUUCCGGCAGCUGUGACAUCUUAGACUGCGAGGUGGUUUUCUGCCUCUUUCUCACUCAGCUAAUAGGAGGGUCGGUCUCAGCAUGCAUCGCAGCUAUCUCGUCCUCACUGCCUUCCUGGGACAACUGCUGGAUGCCGUGGGGCAGACCAUUGUCACCCAGCAAGAAGGAGAGGUCACAGUUGAGAAGAGAAAUACAUUCCAGACCACCUGCACAUACCAGACCUCCAACUUUAAUGGCUUGUUUUGGUACCAGCAGAAGAAAGGCCAGGCCCCACAACUGGUCACAUAUCACACAGCAGCAGGCCCCAAGCACAACGGCCGUUUCACCACGUGGCUGAACACCACCGGGAAAUACAGCCUCCUGCAGCUGUCAGAAGUCGAGCUCUCUGACAGCGCCUUGUACCUCUGUGCUGUGCAGGACACCCUGGUGCAGGGAGCUUCCUUGGCCGUGCAACAACCCCGGGGAGAGAGGAGUCUUGUCUCUGCAAGGCGGAGCUCUGGGGAAGGGGCCCUCAGCUCUCCCCUGGCAGUGCGACCUGGUGUAGGGAACCUGCUUUAGCAGGGGGUUGGACUCGAUGAUCUCUGGAGGUCCCUUCCAACCCCUACAGUUCUGUGAUUCUGUGAUGUCAGCUGAAGCCAUAGCUAGACUGAGAAUGGAAAUAGAAGGAACUACUGGCCAACUGCACUCCAUGCAAAACUUCCUCAGUAAUCUGUUUUAGAGCUGAUGUCUUUAGAUGUCAUUCCUGGUCAUCCAAAUGACAGCGAGGUGGUUCCGAGUAGCCGCGGAGCGGAGUUGGGGGCGGCUACGGGGAGGAGGUGCCGCG